GCCCAUGUGGUGAAAUUGGUAGACACGCCAUCUUGAGGGGGUGGUGUCCGCAAGGACGUGCUGGUUCGAAUCCAGUCGUGGGCACAA
rnacentral:tRNA from 2 species